UACGUAGGGUGCAAGCGUUAAUCGGAUUCACUGGGCGUAAAGGGUGCGCAGGCGGCCAAGUGUGUUAGGCGUGAAAGCCUGGGGCUUAACCCCAGAAUUGCACCUAAAACUACAUGGCUAGAGCAUCGGAGAGGGUAGCGGAAUUCACGGUGUAGCAGUGAAAUGCGUAGAUAUCGUGAGGAACACCAGAGGCGAAGGCGGCUACCUGGACAAUUGCUGACGCUCAGGCACGAAAGCGUGGGGAGCAAAAGGG
rnacentral:rRNA from 1 species